GAUUGAACGCUGGCGGCAUGCCUUACACAUGCAAGUCGAACGGUAACAGGUCUUCGGAUGCUGACGAGUGGCGAACGGGUGAGUAAUACAUCGGAACGUGCCCAGACGUGGGGGAUAACGAGGCGAAAGCUUUGCUAAUACCGCAUACGAUCUAAGGAUGAAAGCAGGGGACCGCAAGGCCUUGUGCGUUUGGAGCGGCCGAUGGCAGAUUAGGUAGUUGGUGGGAUAAAAGCUUACCAAGCCGACGAUCUGUAGCUGGUCUGAGGGGACGACCAGCCACACUGGGACUGAGACACGGCCCAGACUCCUACGGGAGGCAGCAGUGGGGAAUUUUGGACAAUGGGCGAAAGCCUGAUCCAGCAAUGCCGCGUGCAGGAUGAAGGCCUUCGGGUUGUAAACUGCUUUUGUACGGAACGAAAAGGCUCUGGCUAAUACCUGGGGCACAUGACGGUACCGUAAGAAUAAGCACCGGCUAACUACGUG
rnacentral:rRNA from 1 species